rnacentral:rRNA from 1 species
GAGUUUGAUCAUGGCUCAGGAUUAACGCUAGCGGCAGGCCUAAUACAUGCAAGUCGAACGGCAGCACGGGUAGCAAUACCUGGUGGCGAGUGGCGCACGGGUGCGUAACGCGUAUGCAAUCUACCUAUAACUGGGGAAUAGCCUUCCGAAAGGAAGAUUAAUACCGCAUAAUAUCACGAGACGGCAUCGUUUUGUGAUCAAAUCUCCGGAGGUUAUAGAUGAGCAUGCGUGACAUUAGCUAGUUGGUGAGGUAACGGCUCACCAAGGCGACGAUGUCUAGGGGGUCUGAGAGGAUGAUCCCCCACACUGGUACUGAGACACGGACCAGACUCCUACGGGAGGCAGCAGUAAGGAAUAUUGGACAAUGGCCGCAAGGCUGAUCCAGCCAUGCCGCGUGCAGGAUGAAGGUGCUCUGCAUUGUAAACUGCUUUUGUUUGGGAAUAAACCCCUCUACGUGUAGAGGCUGAAUGUACCAAAAGAUAAGGGUCGGCUAAC